AGAUUCUAAUUUGUUUCUCAAUCAGUUGCUUCCUCGUGUGAAAUGAGGGGACAGACAGCUGAUCUUUCUGAGCUGCCCAUGGCUGGGACCACUGCCUCCAUUCCCAACACCCUGCUGGGGACCCCGCCUUCCAAAGAACAUGCCCCAGGCACACAGGUGAGCUCCCGCCAUGCACUCCCCGUGAAAGGGAAGCCGUCUGGAGGCAGUGUGGCACCUGAAGACGCUGGAGCUGCUGCUGUCAGGGACACACGCCCUGCCCAUUCAUCUGCCUUCUGCGCCGGGAGCCCCCGCAGAUGCGGAAGAUGCAGGGAAUGAUUCAGCCCCAGCCUUAAACAUCAAAUAGCAAAUGAAUAGCAUCAUAAGAAGUCAAGAGAAAGACCAUGGAAGAAAGAAGAAACUUUAACAGCGCUUUUUUCAUGAUCUUUGAACAAGGAGCUCUAAAUUAUCAUUUUGCACUGGCUCUGUCCCAGCUCAUGUUUGUUGAGUGAAUAAAUAAAUAAAUAAAUGCAUACAUACAUAUUUAUUAGUACAUGGAACACACUGAUUAUCUUCCAUUUCCUAACAACACUGUAUGUAAUCAGGAUUGCAGGCAUGUUAUGAAAUACUAGAAUAGCUGAAUAUUAAAAUUAUUCUGGAAUCAUGUAUGCUUAUUGUUGGGGUUAUUUGUGACGUCUCCAAAGUCAUCACAGUUUUCUCAGCAUCAAUGUCCUCAUCUCACCCCAGUCCUAGUUCUAGUCUUAGUGGAAUAGAUUGUAUCAGACUAAUCCUCUGACAGACAACAACGAUCAACUGUGGAUGAAAUUUUAAAACAACUAUUUAAAAAUGCCAGAGAGCAAACAAAAGCAGACAAGUUAGAGGGACUUCAACCCACGAAAUCAAUAAACGUACUGACUGAGACUCAUGCACACACACAUGACAGAGGGACAGAAGCUCUAUGAGAGGAGGACCCUUAUCCAUUUUGUUGAUGGCACAUAGUAUAUGUUCAAUAAAUUUUUGUUGUCAAAUGAAUGUUUUGUUUGGCCAACCUCACUUAUUGUUUUUUCAGUUUUACUGAGGGAUGAUUUAUGUAAAAUAAAAUUCACACUUUUUAAUUGUACCAUUUUAUGAGUUUCACAAAUGUAUACAGUUGUAUAUCUGCCACUAUGAUCAAGAUGUAGAGUAUUUCCAUCGCCAUAGAAAGUUCCUUUAUGCCCCUUUGCUGUUUAUCCCUUCCCCAGCCCCAGCACCUGGCAAUCGCUGACCUGAUUUCUAUAGCUUUGCCUUUUCCAGAAAGUUGAAUAAAUGGAAUCACACUAAA
ensembl:lncRNA novel transcript